UUUCCCCUUUUUACUUUGCCAACUGGACUUAUGUCUUCAUUGGCCAUUCAAGAAGGGCAGAGGAAAUAUUAUUUUAAGAUCCAGGCAAACUGGGUGUCUGUCUUGUAAUGUCAGAGGAAAUAAAU